rnacentral:rRNA from 1 species
UACGGAGGGUGCAAGCGUUAUCCGGAUUCACUGGGUUUAAAGGGUGCGUAGGUGGGCAGGUAAGUCAGUGGUGAAAUCUCCGGGCUUAACUCGGAAACUGCCAUUGAUACUAUCUUUCUUGAAUACCGUGGAGGUCAGCGGAAUAUGUCAUGUAGCGGUGAAAUGCUUAGAUAAUGACAUAGAACACCAAUUGCGAAGGCAGCUGGCUAACACGAAUAUU